AGUAAAAGUGGGACUUUAAACCUAAAAUUUUUGGCGGUUUUUCAAGCCUAUCAGAGGAGCUUGUUCUGUAAUCGAUGGUCCACGUUUGGGUUUACCUUCUUUUUAUAUAUCGCCGUCAAUGACAGGUCAAGAUGUAGCUUAUAGGAGGGGUUGAAAGUGGAUUUGAAUGUGUAGAGAGUUAAUAUUUGCGCUGAGAAAUGU
rnacentral:rRNA from 1 species